CAGGCUGCCAUUGUGAGAAUCAUGAAAAUGAGGAAGGUUCUGAAACACCAGCAGCUGCUUGGAGAAGUGCUGACGCAGCUGUCCUCCAGGUUCAAGCCACGGGUUCCAGUAAUUAAGAAAUGCAUCGACAUCCUGAUCGAGAAGGAGUACUUGGAACGCGUGGACGGUGAGAAGGACACCUACAGCUACUUGGCUUAACGUUUUCUUAGCGACGAGGUGACUGUGUGACGCUCGGCAAAUAGGUAUGUGACGGGAAGAGCGAAAGGAACUUCAUAGCAGCCGCCCUGCUGCCGUUUGGACCUCCCUUUUUAACACCUGAGACCAGGACUCCCACCAGCCAGUCUCAGACUUACAUCAGAACUGCUCAGGAUUGAUACAUUUCAAGUAUGUAAAUACGGACACCGAUGCCAUUUAACCUAAUUUAAGAACAGAAAGGAAUCAACCCCUUCUCCUCUAAGGGUUGCAUGCUACUGCAUUUAAAUCUAUACAUUGGCUAGAGGGUAAACCAGCUGCCGGCGGGGGCAGCUCCUAGAAACGUUGGCAGCACUUGGAGAGCGAGUCUGAAUGGACCCAUGUGUAACCUGCUAUGAACAACCCAUUUGUAUAGUGUGUUUCAUUUUUUAAUGUGUGAUAAAUAAUAAAAAAAAAAAGAAAUUAAAAGAUUUCUGUACAAGUUGCAUUUGGUUUUAUUGUUUUAAGUUUCAUGACUUAUCUUUCUAAAUGUAAAUAAAAGGUAUAAUGGUUAUGAAA